rnacentral:sRNA from 1 species
GCCUUGAACGAAAUUUAGCAAAAAUUGAUUUAAAAACGAAUUUUCAGCGAACCAAGGCUUGACGAAAAGACGAUGGUUCAAACAGUGAACAGAACCAGCAAAAAAAUCAUUCGUUGGCUUAACAAGUACUUCAUUUUCAAAUUAUUUGAGAUAUGUUGUUUGAUGCGACUGUCUCCGAAUUAUGUGCCACCUGCAGAAUAUGUAUGUAUGUAUAGCUAUUCUAGAAAAGUGUCGACAGUUAAGAUCUUAGGUAUUCGAUACACACGAUCAAUUGCGAGAUCUGGGCAGUUAUUGAAGCAAUAUUAUAAAGGAAUAACAUGAAAUUCGCUGCAUUUAUUUUUCUAGCCUGCUGCAAUAUUUGCCUUGCCGAGAUACUACAUUUAGAUGAACGUUGUUAUUUUCCGAAUGCGGUGAAGGGCAAGUGCAACAAGUAUCGCAUUAAAUACAGCUUCCAUUCUAAAUUAAAUGCCUGCCAUCCGUUUGUUUGGGGCGGUUGUAGGUCAGCUAAGAUCGAAAAUCGCUU